rnacentral:rRNA from 1 species
CUACGGGAGGCAGCAGUGGGGAAUAUUGGACAAUGGGCGAAAGCCUGAUCCAGCCAUGCCGCGUGUGUGAAGAAGGCCUUCGGGUUGUAAAGCACUUUCAGUGGGGAAGAAAGCCUUGGGGCUAAUACCCUCGAGGAAGGACAUCACCCACAGAAGAAGCACCGGCUAACUCCGUGCCAGCAGCCGCGGUAAUACGGAGGGUGCGAGCGUUAAUCGGAAUUACUGGGCGUAAAGCGCGCGUAGGCGGUCUGAUAAGCCGGUUGUGAAAGCCCCGGGCUCAACCUGGGAACGGCAUCCGGAACUGUCAGGCUAGAGUGCAGGAGAGGAAGGUAGAAUUCCCGGUGUAGCGGUGAAAUGCGUAGAGAUCGGGAGGAAUACCAGUGGCGAAGGCGGUCUUCUGGACUGACACUGACGCUGAGGUGCGAAAGCGUGGGUAGCAAACAGGAUUAGAUACCCUUGUAGUC